AUACUUACCUGGCAGGGGUGAUUCAAUGAUCACGAAGGUGGUUUCCCCAGAGCGAGGCUUACCCAUUGCACUCUGGGUGUGCUGACCCCUGCGAUUUCUCCAAAUGUGGGAAACUCGACUGAAUAAUUUGUGGUAGUGGGGAAAAAAAGAAUUAUGAUUGGAUUAGCCUA